AUAGCGUAUAUUAAAGUUGUUGCGGUUAAAAAGCUCGUAGUUGAACCUUAGGCCUAGCCGGCCGGUCCGCCUCACCGCGUGCACUGGCUCGGCUGGGCCUUUCCUUCUGGGGAACCGCAUGCCCUUCACUGGGUGUGCCGGGGAACCAGGACUUUUACUCUGAAAAAAUUAGAUCGCUUAAAGAAGGCUUAUGCUCGAAUACAUUAGCAUGGAAUAAUAAAAUAGGACGUGUGGUUCUAUUUUGUUGGUUUCUAGAACCGCCGUAAUGAUUAAUAGGGACAGUCGGGGGCAUCAGUAUUCAAUUGUCAGAGGUGAAAUUCUUGGAUUUAUUGAAGACUAACUACUG
rnacentral:rRNA from 1 species